ensembl:lncRNA LINC02105 long intergenic non-protein coding RNA 2105
UGAGGAGCACUGAGCAAGAUGGCCACCUCCUGGUGGUAAGUCUCGCUCCUGGAGUUCCCAUCUUGACCCUACAGCGGGACAUUUUGCCGCCACCUCUUUGUGUGUUGGGAAGAUGACGUCCUUUCUGCUCGUCCUGCUUCUCUGAUUGAUCUGUGUCUCUGGAGAUCCCUUUGCUCAGCCAUCAGAUCAAGCAGGCAUCCAUGGUUCAGAAUGGUGAUGACCUGGGCAAGAGCUCACCAGUAAGGAGCAAAGGGGCCCGCCUGCCACUCUUAAGCAGAGCGCCUGCUGAAUCAGGAUUUCCAAGGCUCCGGCUGAGUGCCUGGCUGGGGGCUGUGUGUGCAGAUGCCACAAGAUGGACAAGACUGAGGACGCAGAUGAGGAAACUGAAGCAACUGUUCAAGAAGAGGAUAUAAAAAGGGACAGGCAUUGAUGAUGAUAUCAGAGCUUCUUCCUGGGGAAUCUCAGCCUCACAUGAUGGAGUAUGACUAAAGGAAAAAAAUAAGGCUCUUCACAUACUUUCUUGGCAGUCUGUGAGGGUCAGGGUUGAUUUUGUGUCCCUAAAAUGUCACAUGAAGUUCAUAGGCACUUCCAAAGGGGCAGUCUAGCAAGUUAAAGAGUAGAUGUGGGGCUGUGUGGAGUCCAUUGUUUGGGUAAUCUUUUUCAAACAGUAGGAAUAUACCAGCUUGUAAAGAUUUGCCCACUUAGCUUCAAGUCUCUCUGAACACAUUUCCCCCCGCUCUAUGAAUAGAUGAAGACAUACAAAUGGAACUCUUGAUAUUCUUAAGUGAAAAACAUGAUAUGGAAUAGCAGAUAAAUACAAACAAUUUCUUAUCCAGCAAAGAGCUCCAGAAAUAUUUUGACUUCAUUUAAAACAGUUAUAUAAAUAUUUGCUGGUGGAAUUUUUUUCUAAACCAAAUACCCUGAAGGAUUUUAGUUGUCUAUCUACAACUUUUUGCUUGUGGAAAAUGUUGACUUCCUGGUUACUUUGACUUGUGUUCACCUGAAAUUUUGCUUUUGCAGUAGUUUUUCUUAUGAUUUAGUGGCAUUGCCUGUCCAGUGACAGGAAGUGGUGUUCUUAUUGGGACUAAUAUGUGUUAUGGCCCUAGAACCAGCAGAAGCCACUCCUGCUUUUUUCCACACUCUUCUUUCUAUAGAAGAGAAGGGAAUGAGGAUCCCACAUGGCAUUCACUGCCUUGAGCAUACUGAGAUUUCUUUGCAAAAGGAGAAACAGCACCAGCAACUAAGCAUUUUAUCCCAUUUUAUUUUACUUCUUCUAUGAUUCUUUGCCACUUAGCAAUGCCAAUUAAUUGAUUUGGGACUGGAAAUACAUUUCUUAUACAAUCUUCAAGUUUUCUUUCAUAAGAACAUAACUUUCAUCUGAUAUUGUUCCCCACUUCUCUCUUUUCAAAUGUAAUAUUUGGGCCAGUCCUUGAAAGUGAACUGAGUUGAGUUCUCAUGGCCCAUAAAAGAACAUAUUCAAAAUGUAUCAUUUUCUUUAUGUCACAGAUAAAAGAUCAUUAAUUGUAUAUAAAAUUUCCAUAUAAUUUUUAAAAUUUUUAUUUUGCAAUAAUUUAUUUUAGAUUUACAUUAAAGUUGCAAGGAAGGUACAAA